AUUGAAACCUCUGCCCACGUUCAUAUAAACUACAUCUGCUGUACUUGUUAGUGUGUAAACGCACAUCAAGAACUUGGCAGCGGUUUUCCGCAUGGAUGCAGAGUAACUGUUUACACAUCCUCUGCUCUUACUUUAGGAAAAAAAAAUGUUUUUUUCCUAUGUACAAAAGUUCACAUGCCUUCAGAGAAUGUGUGAGAGACACUGCAGCCUGGAAAACAGGCAGCCAGAACUCGGAGUCUGCCAGCAUCAGUUUACAUCCAGCAAGUGCUGUGAUGGUGUGGGCAUCUCUGAAUAGUGAAGAUCCUUCCUCGGCCAUUCCUGGACCAUCCUGCACAUCAUAGGUGUUUGCAACUACUGGAAAUUUUGAGUUAAAACUCCCUUGGAGAAUAUUUCUACAUGGAUGGUUGGACAGGGUAACCCAGCCUGCUACAUAUCAUUAAAUGUUGGUUCCCAGAGCAGGCCAAACCAGGCUGGGACCUGGUUAGGCAACGCGUCACAUUUCUGCUUGUUAGACUUGCACUGUAGGGCCCUGGCAUGAUCCUUUGCACCUGCCAUUAUCCAGGUUUGAGAGAGUGUGUCUUGCUCGAGGGAUGCCUGCGUGCUUUUGCUUCGUGCUCACUUCCAAGCAUUUGGAAACUUGAAGACUAAUCGAAGUUAAAUUUGGACCUAUCCUUUUUUUUUUUUUUUUGGCUCAAACUCUCAAACAGGUUUCCUCCAUCAUACUGCCUAACCUGUACCCAUAUUCAACAAAGUCCUUAAUAU